rnacentral:rRNA from 1 species
UACGAAGGGGGCUAGCGUUGCUCGGAAUGACUGGGCGUAAAGGGUGCGUAGGCGGCAUGAUAAGUUAUUGGCGGCAAAUCGAGGCUCAACCUCGUGGAAACUGAUAAUACUGUCUUGCUUGAGUGCAGAAGAGGUUAACGGAACUCCAUGUGGAGCGGUAAAAUGUGUAGAUAUAUGGAAGAACAUCAAUAACGGCGAAGGCAGUUAACUAUUCUGUUACUGACGUUGAGGCACGAAAGCGUGGGGAGCAAAAAGG